AUGGCCGGCGGCGAUUGUUCUCCCGUGGCGGCGGCGAGAAAGUGGGACCACGAAGAGUAUCGGUUCAAGACGCCGGAGGAGGAUUCCUUCGACCCGCGAUUCAGCGAGUACGACCCCAAGCAGGGUUGUUUCAUAUACGUCCGCUACUUCUUCGACGGUGACAAACUCGACCUCGACGAGGAGUCACCUAUUGGUCCCAUGCGACAUACUGGUAAAAUCUUCAAAGAGGGGUUCCGGCUCAAAAACUCGGUCAAUGUUGUCUCCAUCAAGAUUGUUUCCUCCGACUAUGGCUACCCACUCAAUGUCUAUGGUACCAUCAUAGCCAGGGACAGUCUGGAUCAAAAAUGUGUCUAUAUAUUCCGGCGCGACCAGGAUGAUUGCCAGCUCAUCAGCUCAAGGGAUGAUUCAUUGAUUUUGACUGGCCCGAAGAGAGGAUUCAUGGUAUGCGAUGAUAUAUUCUUCGAAAUCAAUCUGAAGGUUAAGGAUGUGCAUGGGAGGACUGUCGAUGAUGAUAGACUCAGUAAAGGCCUGAUCGAGGUGGAUGCUAUCCGCAGGCUGGAAUUUGAUCCCAGAUAUAUGGUUGAAACGGAAACACUCGUCAGCAUGCACAGCAUAUUGGAUUUAAACUACACAUUUGUAAGGAGGUCGGUGGAGGGCACUGUUGAGAUCAGGAUCCUUCAGGGACCUGAUGAAUUCCAUGGGAAGAUCGCCGCUUCCACUACCAGCAUUCCAUGCGACAUUGUGCUACAUGAUAGCAAAGUGUCUGGUGCGCUAAUUGCAGGUGACAAUGGAGUCCUACAAAUGGCGCGGCGCAUAGUAGGAGUCUCUGUGGAUGAGAUACUGGUAUUGACUGUUGCUGCUGCUGUCGGUGAUGAUAAGUUAUCUGUCGGCACUGUUGAGUUUACUCCAAGGCGCAAUGGUUACGAUGCUGAGAUUAUCAUAUGCGGCAACUACAUGAUGCUUCUGAAGGUGACUUGGUCGAUUGUGUAUUUCUGA
rnacentral:rRNA from 1 species